UACGGGGGGGGUAAGCGUUGUUCGGAAUUACUGGGCGUAAAGGGCUCGUAGGCGGCCAACUAAGUCAGACGUGAAAUCCCUCAGCUUAACUGGGGAACUGCGUCUGAUACUGGAUGGCUUGGAUUCGGGAGAGGAAUGCGGAAUUCCAGGUGUAGCGGUGAAAUGCGCAGAUAUCAGGAAGAACACCUAUGGCGAAGGCAGCUCUCUGGGACGGUACUGACGCUGAGACGCGAAAGCGUGGGGAGCGAACAGG
rnacentral:rRNA from 1 species